GACGAACGCUGGCGGCGUGCUUAACACAUGCAAGUCGAACGGAAAGGCCCUGCUUGCAGGGUACUCGAGUGGCGAACGGGUGAGUAACACGUGGGUGAUCUGCCCUGCACUUCGGGAUAAGCUUGGGAAACUGGGUCUAAUACCGGAUAGGAGCCAUCUUUAGUGUGGUGGUUGGAAAGUUUUUUCGGUGUAGGAUGAGCUCGCGGCCUAUCGGCUUGUUGGUGGGGUAAUGGCCUACCAAGGCGGCGACGGGUAGCCGGCCUGAGAGGGUGUACGGCCACAUUGGGACUGAGAUACGGCCCAGACUCCUACGGGAGGCAGCAGUGGGGAAUAUUGCACAAUGGGCGCAAGCCUGAUGCAGCGACGCCGCGUGGGGGAUGAAGGCCUUCGGGUUGUAAACUCCUUUCGCUAGGGACGAAGCUUUUUUGUGACGGUACCUAGAUAAGAAGCACCGGCUAACUACGUG
rnacentral:rRNA from 1 species